rnacentral:tRNA from 1 species
GCUGUACGUGCUGUCCGGCAGGCUGCGGCUGGUGCUUGGCGAGCACGACGUGGUGCUGACGGCGGGCGAGGCGGCCGAGUUCGACACCCGGGUGCCGCAC